CCAUUUCUUCCACUACAGAGUGACGAGCUCCUCUGUCUCAACUCCCCAUAGGCAAAAUCAGUUUUGCUUGUCCAAUUUAGAGUGUCUUCUCCGACGUUCUCUGACCUCCGGCGACACCAUCAUAGCUGCAACACAAUGGUUGGGGUUUCUGUAGGAGAUGAGGUUAACAAGGACACAUCCCUAAUUUUCACUAUUGAUUUGGUGUUUGAUAACAAAGAAUCGGUGAUUGAAUGGGCAAGGAGAACUGGGCGUUUCAAUGGGAUGGUGGUGGUUGUAUUCAAGACUUGAGAGCAAGGAUCUACUCCAUCUGAACCCAGUUCCACCUUAUCUGAACCCAUUCCACAUCGACCCAUCGUCAAUUUCACCCAUUAUCAAGGCCUUCACUUUAUCUUCUUAUAGUCUCCACAAAGCUCAGCACGCUUUUCCAUCAUAUUGAACAACUCAGGUAGUCUUCAUUGUGAAAAGAUUCAUGUUCAUGCUUUCCAAUACCAUGAUUCAUGCAUAUUCCUGCUGUGAUGAGUUGAAUCUUGCGAGCCACUGUUUGACGGAAUGGUUGACAAGGACUUGGUUUCUUGGAAUGGCUUGAGGUGUAUUUGUAAAAUGUUUGGGAUUUUAUGUAUUUUGGGUGUCUUUAUAAAUAUUUAUAAUUUUUUGGGAUA